rnacentral:rRNA from 1 species
UGGGGAAUAUUGCACAAUGGGGGAAACCCUGAUGCAGCGACGCCGCGUGGAGGAAGAAGGUCUUCGGAUUGUAAACUCCUGUUGUCGGGGACGAUAAUGACGGUACCCGACAAGAAAGUGACGGCUAACUACGUGCCAGCAGCCGCGGUAAAACGUAGGUCACAAGCGUUGUCCGGAAUUACUGGGUGUAAAGGGAGCGCAGGCGGGAAGACAAGUUGGAAGUGAAAUCUACGGGCUCAACUCGUAAAUUGCUUUCAAAACUGUUUUCUUGAGUAGUGCAGAGGUAGGCGGAAUUCCCGGUGUAGCGGUGGAAUGCGUAGAUAUCGGGAGGAACACCAGUGGCGAAGGCGGCCUACUGGGCACCAACUGACGCUGAGGCUCGAAAGUAUGGGUAGCAAACAGGAUUAGAUACCCUAGU